AUUGAACGCUGGCGGCAGGCUUAACACAUGCAAGUCGAGCGGGGUGAUGGUGCUUGCACUAUCACUUAGCGGCGGACGGGUGAGUAAUGCUUAGGAAUCUGCCUAUUAGUGGGGGACAACAUCUCGAAAGGGAUGCUAAUACCGCAUACGUCCUACGGGAGAAAGCAGGGGAUCACUUGUGACCUUGCGCUAAUAGAUGAGCCUAAGUCGGAUUAGCUAGUUGGUGGGGUAAAGGCCUACCAAGGCGACGAUCUGUAGCGGGUCUGAGAGGAUGAGCAGCCACACUGGGACUGAGACACGGCCCAGACUCCUACGGGAGGCAGCAGUGGGGAAUAUUGGACAAUGGGGGGAACCCUGAUCCAGCCAUGCCGCGUGUGUGAAGAAGGCCUUAUGGUUGUAAAGCACUUUAAGCGAGGAGGAGGCUCUUUUGGUUAAUACCCAGAAUGAGUGGACGUUACUCGCAGAAUAAGCACCGGCUAACUCUGUGCCAGCCGCCGCGGUAA
rnacentral:rRNA from 1 species